rnacentral:misc_RNA from 1 species
GAUGAAGAACGCAGCGAAAUGCGAUAAGUAAUGUGAAUUGCAGAUUUCAGUGAAUCAUCGAAUCUUUGAACGCACAUUGCGCCCGCUAGUAUUCUGGCGGGCAUGCCUGUUCGAGCGUCAUUUCAACCAUCAAGCCCUAGGCUUGCGUUGGAGCCCUGCGGCUGCCGCAGGCUCCCAAAUCCAGUGGCGGGCUCGUCGUCGUACCGAGUGCAGUAAACAUCCUCGCUCAGGGAACGUGACGGGUUCUUGCCGUGAAACCCCCCACAUAUCAAGGUUGACCUCGGAUCAGGUAGGAAUACCCGCUGAACUUAAGCAUAUCAAUAAGCGGAGGA